rnacentral:rRNA from 1 species
GUCUUAUGCAUGCAAGUCGAACGAGCCCCAGGAUUUCGGUCCUGACGGCAAGUGGCGGACGGGAGAGUAACACGUACGUAACCUAUCCAAACGUGGGGAACAACUCCGCGAAAGCGGGGCUAAUACCGCAUGUGGUCGGCCGGUGAGAUUCCGGUUGACGAAAGCCUUCGGGCGCGUAUGGAGGGGCGUGCGGCCGAUUAGCUAGUUGGUGAGGUAACGGCCCACCAAGGCGACGAUCGGUAGCUGGUCUGAGAGGACGGCCAGCCACACGGGGACUGAGACACGGCCCCGACUCCUACGGGAGGCAGCAGCAAGGAAUUUUGCGCAAUGGGCGAAAGCCUGACGCAGCAACGCCGCGUGGGGGAUGAAGGCCUUCGGGUCGUAAACCCCUUUUGCGGGGGAAGCAACUGACGGUACCCCGCGAAUAAGCCACGGCUAACUACGUGCCAGCAGCCGCGGUAAUACGUAGGUGGCGAGCGUUGUCCGGAUUUACUGGGCGUAAAGGGCGCGCAGGCGGCUCAUCAAGUCUAGGGUGAAAUCUCCCGGCUCAACCGGGAGCGGUCUCUGGAAACUGAUGAGCUUGAGAGGAGCAGAGGAGAGUGGAAUUCCCGGUGUAGCG